rnacentral:rRNA from 1 species
UUCCAGACUCCUACGGGAGGCAGCAGUGGGGAAUAUUGCACAAUGGGGGAAACCCUGAUGCAGCGACGCCGCGUGAGCGAUGAAGUAUUUCGGUAUGUAAAGCUCUAUCAGCAGGGAAGAAGAUGACGGUACCUGACUAAGAAGCCCCGGCUAACUACGUGCCAGCAGCCGCGGUAAUACGUAGGGGGCAAGCGUUAUCCGGAUUUACUGGGUGUAAAGGGAGCGUAGACGGCGAUGCAAGCCAGAUGUGAAAGCCCGGGGCUCAACCCCGGGACUGCAUUUGGAACUGUGUGGCUGGAGUGUCGGAGAGGCAGGCGGAAUUCCUAGUGUAGCGGUGAAAUGCGUAGAUAUUAGGAGGAACACCAGUGGCGAAGGCGGCCUGCUGGACGAUGACUGACGUUGAGGCUCGAGAGCGUGGGGAGCAAACAGGAUUAGAUACCCUAGUA